AUCACCACACACACCUGAGUCAGGUAUAGCGUUAAGGCAAACGGUGUCUAGACGGUUUUGUCUGCAGGGCGUCUUCAGUACAUCAGAUGUUUUGUAACGUUUGGCACAGGAGUACAAGGACUUUAUUGCAUGCUUGCAGUUGCCAGUGUGUGCAUAAGAUAUUGCAAUAGUCAGAAGAUUUAUGUCUUUCACAAUCCUGCACACAGCAGCAUAACUGCCAGAUCUCUCUAGAGUGAGGACAAGUGUUUGUCAAGGUGAGAAAAGGGGAAAAAAUGCAUUAAGGAGCAGCCACCUACAUACACUUUAAUCAAGCAGGAUUCCAGAAACAAAAGCAGUGAACAGUGUCCUGACAGUACAAACUUCUUUUCUUUGUCAAUGGAGCUGACAGAAGAUGCAGUCAGACUGACGGACGUCUCCAGAAGGAAACGAGUCGGGGAACACAUACCAGCACGUAACAAAUCUGCAAUCUCUUUGUAGAGUUAUGUUCCAUAAAAUAUAAACAACUUUAUCAUCUGGUUCUCACACCAUCUGUGUGAUGUCUGCACUGUACGUCAUUUAUUGAUCUUUUUAUGAUACGCAAAAUUAAGUUGGAUUAUUUUACUUGAGUCGUGUGUGUGAUUUCUUGCGCAUGAUCAAUGCAAGUCAGUGGACUCUAGAAUGUCUCCUUUCGUGUUCCAUAGUAACAAUCAGUUUUGGAAAGAUAAGCAAAUAAUGUAAACGAUGACUUUUUUGGUUGAACCAUCUGUUUAGUCUUGUCCAAAAGUGUAUACUGCA